UCGUCUCCUCAGUGUCUUUAUAAGCUUCAGUCUCUCUUCUCCUCACACUCCAACCCUGCUCACCUCUCAGCUGGACAGUAAGAGACGUUUACACCACACACUGACAACAUGCUGGGGACCCUCUGCACUCUCAUCACUGCUCUAACAUGUGUGAGUGGUGUGACGGUGGUGACACAGAAGCCUCCUGUUGUGACGCUGAGGAAAGGAGAGACAGCCACCAUGGACUGUAACCUGGGAACUGGUACCAAUCAAGCUGUAUGGUACAAACAGAUUCCUGGAGGAGUUCCUCAGUAUGUAUUGAAGAUUUAUCACAUCUGGAGCUCUCCAUACUAUGGCCCUGGCUUCUCCUCUCCAAAGUUCACAUCUACUCAUCAGUCACAAUCAGAUUAUCGUUUGAUCAUCAACAAUGUGGAGGAGGGAGACUCAGCAGUCUAUUACUGUAAAACAUGGGAUGGCUCUGCUUCUGCAACUGUAUCACAGUGA